GCCCGUUUGGCUUAGUGGUACAGCGUCUCACUCGUAUGCGACAUGAGAAGAUCCUCGGUUCGAUUCCGAGAAUGGGCA
rnacentral:tRNA from 1 species